rnacentral:rRNA from 1 species
GACGAACGCUGGCGGCGUGCUUAACACAUGCAAGUCGAGCGAUGAAGCACCUUCGGGUGUGGAUUAGCGGCGAACGGGUGAGGAACACGUGAGGAAUCUGCCUUUCACUUCGGGAUAACUCCGGGAAACCGGGGCUAAUACCGGAUAUUUUCAACUGGCGGCAUCGCCGGUUGAAGAAAGUUUUUCGGUGAAAGAUGACCUCACGGCCUAUCAGCUUGUUGGUGAGGUAAUGGCUCACCAAGGCGACGACGGGUAGCCGGCCUGAGAGGGCGACCGGCCACACUGGGACUGGGACACGGCCCAGACUCCUACGGGAGGCAGCAGUGGGGAAUAUUGGGCAAUGGAGGAAACUCUGACCCAGCGACGCCGCGUGAGGGAUGAAGGCCUUCGGGUUGUAAACCUCUUUCAGCAGGGAAUAAGCGAAAGUGAAGGUACCUGCAGAAGAAGCACCGGCUAACUAUGUGCCAGCAGCCGCAGUAA